UCAGCGAUAUUUUUUCCCGCGAUAUAUCAACUUUCGAUAUUUAUUUUUAGGUAUCAAAAUCGAUAUAUUUUUUAAAGCUCUGCUGUCUGCUCAUGCGUCACAUCAUGUCUUUGACCAAUCUGAUUUCUUAAAUUUAAUUCAAACGCAAACAAAAAUUACACUCUAUACAUUACACUCUAUGACCUGCUUGUCUAUUUUGUUCAUCUCUAUGACAAUGACACUGCUUGUUGGUUUGGUUUGGUUGGUAUCACUGACUGCGUGUGUUGGAGUGUUGGUAUGGUACUUGAGUGUGGCGGCCGACUGGCGAGUAAUCGCCCUAAGAGCCCCCGCACACUGGCCACUUAGUGGCGGCCACGCUUCAGCCACUAGUGGCCGCCACAACCUGCGGACGCGUUUCUUCAUACAUUUUAUAUAGAAUCGGCGCACACUGAGCGCUUGAGUGGCCGCGUCCGAGCCACAAGCUGCGAGAGUCGAGCGCGCUCGCUACUUGUGGCUGCGUUUUGUCGUUCGACUCGUGCGCAUACACGGCCACAGUUGCCGGCUUCUUCCCACCCCUGCGCGCCGCUCCCCAAUCCCGUCUCCCGGGUCUAGCAGCGUUGCCAGACCGUACCAAAAAGUACGGUUUUCCGUACUAUUCAUCACACAACCGUACCACAACCGUACCUCAGUGUAGACCGUACCUUUUUCGUACCUUUUCUAUAUUAGUGAUUUAUUUUUUACUGCAAACUACAAAGGGUAAAAAAAAAAUCGCCUUCUCCUGUUUUGUCAACAUUAUGAAUUUGCGUUUAAAAAACUUUUUUCUUCCAUCCAAAUAAGACUUGGCUGUUUGGAUUACAUUCCUUGCCUUCCUUCCUCAGGAGCGAUGAAUUAAAAAAAAAAACAGAGCAAACAGAAUAUAGUCUGCGGGACUAUCGCCGUUCGCCGAUGUCUAUAGUCAGUCUGGAACCGAGAUCGAACUAAAGAUAACUCAUUCUCACAAGUAUGUACGACGUGUGACGAAACAAUACGAAUCUAUAGACGGAAGAAAAGUUAAGUCAAGGUGUUGGGAAAUGGACAGAUUUAUAACGAAGCGAAAACGUGACCCUCCUGAUAAUAAUAGCUCUCAAAAUAGUAACCAGCCUACUAAACCUGGUCAUUCAACUAAGAAGAAAUGUUUAAGUCCUAGUAUCCCUGGCCCUUCAUGUACUGAUGCACUAAUAAUAAUAAAACCUACCCAGCCACAAGAAUCAAAUCCUUCCAACGACUUCAGUUUGCUAGACGAAUCAAAUCUAUCUAACAAAAAAAAACCACAAGCCUUACUUGAUACUUGUAACGAAAAUGAAGAAAUCCAGAUAGCAACAAGUAAUGAAGAGCAUAAAAAAAAUAUUCCAACCAAAUCUAAAAAAGCAUCGGAUAAGACUGAAAAACAUUUAUAUGUUUUUAGCGAGAAAUGGUUAGAAAUUAAAGAACUUUCAGAGUGGCUAGUUUCAGACACAGUUAAAGGCACAAUCAGUGCAAAAUGCAAAUACUGUCAAACUACGUUACCCAACCACAAGCCGCACUUGAUACGACACUCUGAAACUGAUAAACACAAAUCAAUAAUGAAAGCCAUUAAAUCCACAUCAAAUAUUAAAGAAUCAUUAAAACCAUCAGAUGAAGAUCUCUCAGUAAAAAGAGGUGAGCUUAAAAUUGCUGCAAUGCUGGCUACAAAUAAUUUACCAUUCCUCUUAUCAGACACUCUAGUUAGCUUAAUAGCGGACAUUUGCCCCGAUUCGAAAAUUGCUCAGAAGAUGAAGAUGGGUCGUACGAAAGCAACAGCAGUUGUAACACAAAUUUUAGGGCCCAGUCUUCAAAGUACUUUGCAUGAUUAUUUAAAACAACCCGGUAAUUUCUUUUGCCUAAUAAUGGACGAAACAACUGAUGUUGGCACAAAAAAACAAUGUGCGAUGACAGUGAUAUAUUGUGACAAAGAAUUUAAAAUAAAAACAGAAUUCUUCGAUUUGCUGGAAAUGGCCUCAGGUACGGCUGAUGACUUGUAUAACGCAUUAAUACAGAGCGUUGAAACUAAAAAUAUCCCACUAGAAAACUUAGUGGGAUUUUCUUCAGACACGACGAACGUGAUGGUCGGCGAAUAUAAUUCUGUGUUCGCCAAAUUGAAAGAAAGACUUCCUAACAUAGUGUGUGUCCGCUGCUCUUGCCAUAUGAUUCAUUUGGCUGCCUCCAAAGCUUGUCUACAACUGCCAAAAUCAGUAGAAGAUAUGUUACGGAACAUUGGCUCCCAUUUCAGCCGCAGCCACAACCGACAACAGAAGCUUGCAGAAAUGCAACGCUUCUACCAAACACAAAUUCAUCAGAUUCUUUUGCCGGCAACAACCCGGUGGCUUUCUUUAAAGGCAUGUGUCGACCGAACGCUGGAACAGUAUCCUGCACUGGAAGCCUAUUUCAGACUUGAAAUAGUGGAAGAUCCGUCCAGAAUAACUGAAAGUAUCAUUUUCAGUUUGCGUAACCAGUUUACAAAAUUUUAUCUCGAGUUCAUGGCAUAUGUGCUAGACCUGCUAAAUGACUUCAAUAUUACUUUUCAGUCUGAAUCGCCAUUACUUCAUAAACUGAAACCUGCCGUAGAAGGGCUCAUCCGCACAAUUGCAAGUAACUUCAUUGAUUUACAUCACGUCAAAAACACGCCUCCUCUAGAGAUCGAACAUAAAAACCCAAGGUUGUACUUGCCUUUGGAAAAUUUGUACCUUGGUGUUUCUGUGGACUCAAGCCUCAAGGAGGUUCAAAAUGAUGUUAGAAAAGAGGACCUGGAAAGAUUCAAACUAGAUUGCCUGGCAUUUUAUGUUGAAGUAAUAGAACAAAUAAAACAAAGAUUUAUAUUUACAGACCCAAUAUAUGACAUAAUCCAAAUAGUCGAACCAAAAAUUAUAAAAUCGUUUGAUCCACAAAUGAUAACUUCAAUUUUAAACAGAUUUCCUUUUUUAGCCCCCACAUAUCUGAAUAAAAGUGCAUUAAUAAACGAAUGGCGGGAGUACUGUUUAUUAGAUCUGGCAAGUGUGGACGACAGUAUAUCGAUUCAAAUGAAUGCUGCUGAUUUUUGGACAAAAGUAUUUAAAUUAAAGGACAUAGCUGGUACAGAAAAAUUCAAAAAUUUGAAAAUCCUGAUAGGAUUUCUAUUAAUUCUGCCUUUUUCUAAUGCCUCAGUGGAAAGAGUAUUUAGCAAACUAAAGCUGAUAAAGACUGAACAUCGGAAUCGUCUCAAUACCGAAACUAUUGCUGCAUUAAUGGCUAUUAGUUCAUCUAUACAGCAACAAGGUGGUAUACACAAUUUUGAACCCAGCUCUUCUAUGUUAAAUAAGAAGAUAAAGUACUAAAAUUAAUUUGAUUCAGUAGUGACGGAUUUCGCUGAUAAAGUAAACACCUAAAUACAACAUCAAAUUACCUUUUUUGUAAAUUUUGAAAACUAAUGAUUUCGAGAUGAAUAAAUAUUUAUCUGUAGAGAAAUAUUACUAAUUUUGUAGAUUGAAAUGAAAACUAUUAACUUGCAUUGAGCAUGGGUGCAGGCUAAGUAUUAAGUAUUUUGGAAUGAAGCAAAGCAUAUCUACAAACGGAAUGACACAUAUCCAAACUAUUGGAGCUUCAAGCAUGUAUUAGCAAGUUAUUUAUUUAUAAACUCGUGUUCUUGCAGAAGUAUCCCGACCUAACCGUACCUUGAAGUUAAAAACCGUACCUUUUUAGAAAGCCAACCAUCCUUUUUUGGGAAAUCAUACUGGCAACACUGGGGUCUAGUCUUGUUGUAAGCUGCGUACUGAAUGCACGUGCAUGAUGUCCACGGAUCCGAUUCCUCAUUUUGAUGUAGACGCUUUUAUUUCCGAUGUCGAAGAGCGACCCGCUAUUUGGGAUUUAAAGUCAGAUUUGUAUAGCGACAGGGGUAAGAAAACUGAAGCUUGGGAGGAAUUGUGCCUAAAAUUUAUUCCAAAUUUUAGUGAAAAAAAUGUAGCGGAAAAAAACAAAGCAGGUAAGUUUUUGGACAAUUUUAUUUUACAUUAUUAUUAUAUAUUUAUUAUAUUUUAUUAUUUUGCCAAGGUACAGCUCCCUCGUUGCUAAUAAAAUAAUCUUUCAAUAUAUCUCUGGUGUUUAAUGAACGACGAGAUUGCACGUGGGCGUUAUCGAUAUCGUGAAGUCCUGGUACAGUCAAUGUAUGAUGGAAAUUAAAUCCAUCUCUCUGACGAACAAAGUUGUGUAGUAUACAACAGGCCUUCACGAUGUCUUCGGCGAAAUCUAUUGACACAUUCAAUGGUCGAUGUAGUAUUCUCCACUUAUUCACUAAUAUCCCAAAGGCACACUCGAUAUGACGCCUGGCUCGAGAAAGCCUAUAGUUGAAAAUUCUUUUUUCAAUAUUCAAGUGUUUUCCUGAAUAAGGUCUCAACAUGUGUUCUGCAAGACCAAAAGCUUCAUCACCAACAAAACAGUAGUUUACAGGACCAGAACUACUAGAAAUUGCUUUUGGUGCAGGUAAAUUCAGGGAUUGGUCUUCCAAUUUUUUGAAUAAUUUCGAUUCUUUGUAGAUAGUCGAAUCUGAAGCUUUCCCAUAAGAGCCGACAUCAAUAAAUGUGAACUUAUAAUUCACGUCACAGAUAGCUAGAAGUACGAUGGAAAAAUAGUGUUUAUAAUUAUAAUAUAAGGAUCCGCUAUCUUGAGGCUUAAUAAUCCUUAUAUGUUUUCCAUCAAUUGCACCACAGCAAUUUGGAAAGUUAGCAUAUUCUUCAAACCCCUUAGCUAUUUUACUCCACAUCUCUUCAGUUGGUUGUGGUACGCAGAUAUCUUGAAGUGAUGCAUAGAUCAAUUUACAUGUUUCUUUUACAAUCAAUCUCGCAGUUGACGCACCACAUCGAUAUACUAAUUCAAAAUCACCAAAUGAACAACCAGUAGCAAGGUACCU
rnacentral:misc_RNA from 1 species